rnacentral:rRNA from 1 species
UGAAGAGUUUGAUCAUGGCUCAGAUUGAACGCUGGCGGCAGGCCUAACACAUGCAAGUCGAACGGUAACAGGAAGCAGCUUGCUGCUUUGCUGACGAGUGGCGGACGGGUGAGUAAUGUCUGGGAAACUGCCUGAUGGAGGGGGAUAACUACUGGAAACGGUGGCUAAUACCGCAUAACGUCGCAAGACCAAAGAGGGGGACCUUCGGGCCUCUUGCCAUCAGAUGUGCCCAGAUGGGAUUAGCUUGUUGGUGAGGUAACGGCUCACCAAGGCGACGAUCCCUAGCUGGUCUGAGAGGAUGACCAGCCACACUGGAACUGAGACACGGUCCAGACUCCUACGGGAGGCAGCAGUGGGGAAUAUUGCACAAUGGGCGCAAGCCUGAUGCAGCCAUGCCGCGUGUAUGAAGAAGGCCUUCGGGUUGUAAAGUACUUUCAGCGGGGAGGAAGGUGUUGUGGUUAAUAACCGCAGCAAUUGACGUUACCCGCAGAAGAAGCACCGGCUAACUCCGUGCCAGCAGCCGCGGUAAUACGGAGGGUGCAAGCGUUAAUCGGAAUUACUGGGCGUAAAGCGCACGCAGGCGGUCUGUCAAGUCGGAUGUGAAAUCCCCGGGCUCAACCUGGGAACUGCAUUCGAAACUGGCAGGC